UCAAACGAGAGUUUGAUCCCGGCUCAGAAUCAACGCUGGCGGCGCGCUUAACACAUGCAAGUCGCACGAGAAAGGGAGCAAUCCUAAGUAAAGUGGCGCACGGGUGAGUA
rnacentral:rRNA from 1 species